AGACCCCACGUCACUGCAGGGGGAACCCAGCAUGGGAAGGAGAAAAGAACAAGAAAAUGAGCCCAGUUACACUAAGCCCCCGUUUUGUCCAUUCAAAACCCAGAAUGGACACACCCUGCUGUGCUGGAUGCUACAGAACAACACAGAAAGCACCAAGGACACUGUGGGUUUGCCACUUUUAAGUAAAAACACUCUUCCAUGAUUCUGGUCAGAUUUGCUGGCAUUCUUCAUACAAAUUACAAUAAUUCUCACCUCAAGAACUCUGCAGCAAAGAACUGCUCGUUGAACAAUGAAAUUUUAGUCGUCCAUCACA